GUCUCGUUGGUGUAGUUGGUUAUCACGUGGGUCUCAUAGCUUCCCAUACUAUGACUGCUCCUUAGAGGAGUGGGAAAUCCCAAGGCCGCCAGUUCGAGUCUGGCACGGGACA
rnacentral:tRNA from 1 species